GAUGAAGAACGCAGCGAAAUGCGAUACUUGGUGUGAAUUGCAGAAUCCCGUGAACCAUCGAGUCUUUGAACGCAAGUUGCGCCCGAAGCCAUUAGGCCGAGGGCACGCCUGCCUGGGCGUCACACGUCGUUGCCCCCCCCAUCUACUCCUUCGGGAUUGCGGGGGGCGGAUGAUGGCCUCCCGUGCGCCUCGCCGCGCGGUUGGCAUAAAUGCCAAGUCCUCGGCGACGCACGCCACGACAAUCGGUGGUUGCGAAACCUCGGUUGCCCGUCGUGUGCGGUCGUCGCGCAUCGAGGGCUCGAAAAAAUUGCCGGGCUUCGGCUCGACUUUCAACGCGACCCCAGGUCAGGCGGGGUUACCCGCUGAAUUUAAGCAUAUCAAUAAGCGGAGGA
rnacentral:misc_RNA from 1 species